rnacentral:sRNA from 1 species
CCUCCUCGGCCUGCUGCGGGCAGAUGAAGUGGAUGUGGCUGUCGAUGCCGCCGGCGGUGAGGAUCUUACCCUCGCCAGCGAUGAUCUCGGUGCCCGGGCCGAUGAUGAUGUCGACGUCGGGCUGGAUGUCGGGAUUGCCGGCACGGCCGAUCGCGGCGAUGCGGCCGUCGAUGAUCGACACGUCCGCCUUGAUGAUGCCCCAGUGAUCAACGAUCAGCGCGUUGGUGAUGACGGUAUCCGCCGCGCCCUCGGCCUGCGUCGCCUGCGACUGGCCCAUGCCGUCGCGUAUG